rnacentral:rRNA from 1 species
AUUGAACGCUGGCGGUAUGCUUAACACAUGCAAGUCGAACGGUAACAGGUCUAGCUUGCUAGGCGCUGACGAGUGGCGGACGGGUGAGUAACGCGUAAGAAUCUGCCUAGUAUGGGGGACAACUCGGGGAAACUCGAGCUAAUACCGCAUACGCCCUACGGGGGAAAGCGGGGGAUCUUCGGACCUCGCGCUAUUAGAUGAGCUUGCGUUGGAUUAGCUAGUUGGUGAGGUAAUGGCUCACCAAGGCUGCGAUCCAUAGCUGGUUUGAGAGAACGAUCAGCCACACUGGGACUGAGACACGGCCCAG